GAAAUGCGAUAACUAGUGUGAAUUGCAGAAUUCCGUGAAUCAUCGAGUCUUUGAACGCACAUUGCGCCCCCUGGUAUUCCGGGGGGCAUGCCUGUCCGAGCGUCAUUGCUGCCCAUCAAGCACGGCUUGUGUGUUGGGUCGUCGUCCCCUCUCCGGGGGGGGCGGGCCCCAAAGGCAGCGGCGGCACCGCGUCCGAUCCUCGAGCGUAUGGGGCUUUGUCACCCGCUCUGUAGGCCCGGCCGGCGCUUGCCGAACGCAAAUCAAUCUUUUUCCAGGUUGACCUCGGAUCAGGUAGGGAUACCCGCUGAACUUAAGC
rnacentral:misc_RNA from 1 species